UACAGAGGUGGCAAGCGUUGUUCGGAAUUACUGGGCGUAAAGGGCGCGUAGGCGGUCCUACAAGUCCCGCGUGAAAGCCCCCGGCUCAACUGGGGAACUGCGCGGGAAACUGUAGGGCUUGAGUUCGGGAGAGGGAAGCGGAAUUCCGGGUGUAGCGGUGAAAUGCGUAGAUAUCCGGAGGAACACCGGUGGCGAAGGCGGCUUCCUGGACCGACACUGACGCUGAGGCGCGAAAGCUAGGGGAGCAAACGGG
rnacentral:rRNA from 2 species